rnacentral:rRNA from 1 species
UAGGGAAUCUUCCACAAUGGGCGCAAGCCUGAUGGAGCAACACCGCGUGAGUGAAGAAGGGUUUCGGCUCGUAAAGCUCUGUUGUUAAAGAAGAACGUGGGUAAGAGUAACUGUUUACCCAGUGACGGUAUUUAACCAGAAAGCCACGGCUAACUACGUGCCGG